rnacentral:rRNA from 1 species
CAGUAGCCACGGUAACACGGAGGGUGCAAGCGUUGUCCGGAUUUAUUGGGUUUAAAGGGUGCGUAGGCGGCUAUUUAAGUCAGCGGUGAAAGACUCCGGCUCAACCGGAGCAGUGCCAUUGAUACUGGAUAGCUUGAGUGUUGGAGGGGUACAUGGAAUUGAUGGUGUAGCGGUGAAAUGCAUAGAUACCAUCAGGAACACCGAUAGCGAAGGCAUUGUACUGGCCAACAACUGACGCUGAGGCACGAAAGCAUGGGGAGCGAACAGGAUUAGAUACCCGCGUAGUCCCUGUCUCUUAUAC